AUUUGGUUUUGUUCCUGACUUCAGCAACAAUGUCUGUCUCGCGAUUUCGCCACUCCACAGGGCACGUGGCAAAGCCUCAGUGCCACCUUCUAAACGUGACAUCGUCCACCGCCUUAUGGGACGGUAGCAACACCAUUUCAUGCAACGAUAAAUUCAUUGCGGUGCCGUGGCAAACCUUUGGCGGGACUGCAGUUUUCAAGCAUGAUACCUUCGGCCGACUUGCGCCAAACCCUCCCCUUGUACUUGGUCAAAAGGGCCAAAUUAUCGACGUCAAGUUUGACCCUUUUAACAACCAUAAGCUGUUCACCGCCAGCGAGGAUGGCAGCAUCUUUGGCUGGGGUAUCCCAGCAGAGGGGCUUCAAUCCAACAUAUCAUCGCCACUAGUGGAGCUGAAAGGACACAACAAAAAGUGUGGUAUCAUCUCAUUUCACCCCAGUGCAAAUGGUGUUUUGGCCUCAGCAGGUGUUGACCGUGUCAUCAACGUGUGGGAUGUGGAGAGAGGCACCGCUGUUAACACCAUCAGCAACCUUUCCGACUACGCCACUGGACUAGAGUGGAAUCUACGAGGGUCUCUUUUCUGCAUAGCCUCUCGCGACAAAACGCUUCGAGUAAUCGAUCCUCGUGACUGCACAGUGGUGUCAUCGGUGGAAAGCCACGCCAGUGCCCGCUCACAGCGGUGCAUCUGGUGUAAGCGAAAGGACACAAUCAUGACACUCGGCUGCAGCAAGAGCCAGCAGCGUCAAAUAAAGCUGUGGGAUACGCGGAAAAUGGAAAGGCCCUACUCAGUCACUGAACUCGACCAGUCGAGCGCCGCAUUCAUACCAGUGUAUGACGAGGAUUUGAAUCUGCUAAUCCUCGGCAGCAAGGGCGAAAACAACGUGAAGUGUUUUGAGUUGAUGAAUGAAGGCCUCACAUUCAGUUAUGAGGUGAACUCGAACGAUCCUAUGAAGGGUCUGUGCAUGAUGCCGAAGUGGUCACUGGACGUCAGGAAGUGUGAAUUCAGCCGUCUGUACCAGCUGACAUAUCACAGUCUUUUUACAAUCGAGAUGCUGCUUCCUCGGAAGCAAUCUUGCACUGAGUUUCAAGGGGAUGUGUUCCCUUCCACAUUUGCAGACCACUCUGCAAUCUCUGCAGGUGAGUUCUUCAGCGGUGCUAGCGCCGAUCCUCGUGAAUACAACUUGUCUGGCUUGUUUGAUGGUCACUCACCGCGCCUGAUGGGAGGAAGCACACCUUCCCCAGCGAAGAUUCCUGUGGCAGCGCAAGCAGCAAAGCCACUGAAGGAGGCGCCGAAGGGCGAGACGGCCGCAGGGCACGAGAAAUCCAGCGUCUCUGUCCCGGCGUCAUCCGCAGCUACUUCAGCCCAAGGUGAUAACGGGCCUGCAAAGCACGCGGAUCCAUGCGCCGACAUGACGCAGCGAGAGAUUUUCGAUAAACAGAGGCGCCUCCAAGAGCUAUCUGAAAAAGUACGCACUUGCCACCAGGAGAUUUCAGCUCUUCGAAAAGCACUUCAAGAAAAAGAGGCAGAGAUGCUGCAAGUGCUAGAGGAUAUCCAGUCGAUAUAAUUCACCGUACCGCUUGUAUCAUAGACGGCGUCAGAAAUGAUCCCCAUAGUCUUCGCUGUUGUUUCCUUCAGUCGAUCUGAUGUUUUUUCGUGAGAGAAAAAAAAAGCUGUAGGUAAACAACCCCAUAUACUGAUGCACUCUCAUUUUCUUCUCAUUGUGUAGGCUUCCUGGUGAUGGAGUACCCCUCUCGGUGCGUGGUGUCUCAGGGCCCAGUGCCCCCACUCUGUGUGGGGAAGCCACGCAGCCCCCACCUAACCCCUGCCAAUGCCGAACCACCUCUGGUGGUGGCAUGGGCAAGCACCUACGAGCUGGGGGGGUCAGAGCGCUUCAUCGCCACGGAUAUCGGCGGUCGGGUCCUGGACGGCGGUGCGUCAGAGCGGGCUGCGACAACGCACGCGUCCGUGCCACCCAUGUGAUGGACAGCGUGUCAGCGUGACUCGAGCUAUCCCACGCCGGGCCGUCGCACUGCCUGCUGCUGGGGAGCCUGCGCCAUCGCGAGGGAUGCACCAGGGGUGGCAACCGGCACGAUGGGAGUGACUGUGAGGCGACCUGGGAGGCGGGUGGGCGGGGUAUGAGGCAGCGGCCGUGCUCGCAGAUGACUGAGCCGGCGCACCGCCGUAGCGCGUGUGUACCGCUACUUCGCACCACGCGGGAUGGGCCUGUGGCAGGCCGGGCCGAGUGGAUUGGAGUGCAUGUUGCACGGCAUGGUGGACGCGUUG
rnacentral:misc_RNA from 1 species